rnacentral:rRNA from 1 species
AUACGGAGGGUGCAAGCGUUGUUCGGAAUCACUGGGCGUAAAGGGCGCGCAGGCGGUUUGGUAAGUCAGAUGUGAAAGCCCAUGGCUCAACCAUGGAAGUGCAUUUGAAACUGUCAGACUUGAGUACUAGAGGGGAAAGUGGAAUUCCCGGUGUAGAGGUGAAAGUCGUAGAUAUCGGGAGGAAUACCGGUGGCGAAGGCGACUUUCUGGCUAGAUACUGACGCUGAGGCGCGAAAGCGUGGGGAGCAAACAGGAUUAGAAACCCCGGUAGUCC